rnacentral:rRNA from 1 species
CUACGGGCCGCAGCAGUGAGGAAUAUUGCACAAUGGGGGGAACCCUGAUGCAGCAACGCCGCGUGGAGGAUGACGCAUUUCGGUGUGUAAACUCCUUUUAUAUGUCAAGAAAAUGACGGUAGCAUAUGAAUAAGCACCGGCUAACUCCGUGCCAGCAGCCGCGGUAAUACGGAGGGUGCAAGCGUUACUCGGAAUCACUGGGCGUAAAGGACGCGUAGGCGGGUCGGAAAGUCAGGUGUGAAAUCCUACAGCUUAACUGUAGAACUGCACUUGAAACUUCUAAUCUAGAGUAUGGGAGGGGGAGAUGGAAUUAGUGGUGUAGGGGUAAAACCCGUAGAUAUCACUAGGAAUACCUAAAGCGAAGGCGAUCUCCUGGAACAUUACUGACGCUAAGGCGUGAAAGCGUGGGGAGCAAACAGGAUUAGAUACCCUCGUAGUC